rnacentral:rRNA from 1 species
UACGGGGGGAGCAAGCGUUGUUCGGAUUUACUGGGCGUAAAGCGCGUGUAGGCGGUUCGGUAAGUCGGCUGUGAAAGUCCAGGGCUCAACCCUGGGAUGCCGGUCGAUACUGCCGGGCUAGAGGACGGUAGAGGCGAGUGGAAUUCCCGGUGUAGCGGUGAAAUGCGCAGAUAGUCGGGAGGAACACCAGUAGCGAAGGCGGCUCGC